AGCAGCCGCGGUAAUUCCAGCUCCAAUAGCGUAUAUUAAAGUUGUUGCAGUUAAAAAGCUCGUAGUUGAAUUUCGGGAUCAAUAUGUUGGUCGUGCCUCGGUACGUACUAGCAUAUUGGUUUCUCCUUUCUGAAGAACCAUGAUGUCAUUUAUUUGGUGUCGUGGGGAAUCAGGACUGUUACUUUGAAAAAAUUAGAGUGUUUAAAGCAGGCUCACGCUUGAAUACAUUAGCAUGGAAUAAUGAAAUAGGACGUUUGAUUCUAUUUUGUUGGUUUCUAGGAUCGACGUAAUGAUUAAUAGGGAUAGUUGGGGCAUUAGUAUUCAAUUGUCAGAGGUGAAAUUCUUGGAUUUAUUGAAGACUAACUACUGCGAAAGCAUUUGCCAAGGAUGUUUUCAUUAAUCAAGAACGAAAGUUAGGGGAUCGAAGACGAUCAGAUACCGUCGUAGUCUUAACCAUAAACUAUGCCGACUAGGGAUCGGAUGAUGUUAAUUUUUUAA
rnacentral:misc_RNA from 1 species